GUUAUUUUAGUUUUAAGUAGUAAAAUGUGUGAUUUUAAAUUAGGUUGUUGUGGGUUCAAUUUUCACAUAUAACA
rnacentral:tRNA from 1 species